GAUGAACGCUAGCUACAGGCUUAACACAUGCAAGUCGAGGGGAAACGACAUCGAAAGCUUGCUUUUGAUGGGCGUCGACCGGCGCACGGGUGAGUAACGCGUAUCCAACCUGCCCACCACUUGGGAAUAACCUUGCGAAAGUAAGACUAAUACCCAAUGAUAUCCCACGAAGGCAUCCGAAUGGGAUUAAAGAUUUAUCGGCGAUGGAUGGGGAUGCGUCUGAUUAGCUUGUUGGCGGGGUAACGGCCCACCAAGGCGACGAUCAGUAGGGGUUCUGAGAGGAAGGUCCCCCACAUUGGAACUGAGACACGGUCCAAACUCCUACGGGAGGCAGCAGUGAGGAAUAUUGGUCAAUGGGCGAGAGCCUGAACCAGCCAAGUAGCGUGCAGGAUGACGGCCCUAUGGGUUGUAAACUGCUUUUAUAAGGGAAUAAAGUGAGUCUCGUGAGACUUUUUGCAUGUACCUUAUGAAUAAGGACCGGCUAAUUCCGUGCCAGCCGCCGCCGUAA
rnacentral:rRNA from 1 species